UCAGUGUGGUGGUAUACAUGUGUAAUCUCCGCUACUGGGAAGGCUGAGGCUGGUUGAUCACUUGAGCCCAGUUCUGAGCUGCAGUAGAACUAGAGUUGAUUAGGUAUCUUCACUAAGUCUGGCACCAAUAUAGUGGGCUCCCAGGAGUGCAGGGUUACCAGGAUGCUUAAGGAUAGGCAAAUCAGCCCAGCAUGGAAACAGAGAAAGCCAAAAUUUCUGUGCCAAAUAGUAGGAUUGGAGCUGUGAGUGGAUCCUGAACUUCCAGCCUCAGU
rnacentral:sRNA from 1 species